rnacentral:lncRNA from 1 species
GCCUGAGUACAGACUACCGCAAUUCUGCCGUUUAGUCUUGGGACUCAGUUGCAAGCGCCCACAACGCCACAAUGAAGACAACGGUGCUCAUACUAGCCGUCCUUCUUCUCUCAGCAGUGAUACUGACGGAAGCUCAGCGUAAUACCGGAAAGCAAGCCUCGGGGGGCCGACGGGGAGGAGGACGCCAGCCAUCAAAUUCAAAGAAAUGUGGCUCUUACGUCUGUACUGCAAGGCAGCGCUGUGAGAGACAACUAGUACCGGAACCUACAUGUGCCAACUUAUGAGCUUACCGGAAAGAAAAGCACCCUGGAUGAACGUCAACCAAGUCAACAAGCUGGUACGCUAAUAAAGUUCAUAGUAAUCAUAGAGAA